CAAGUCAGUGGAGAAAUUCAUCUUCGAUGUAACCACAUAUAUAUACUUAACAUGUAGUGAGUGUUUUAAGUGAGUCUAAACUUUUGAUGGGUAGUGUAUUACUAAAAACAUCUCAUGGACUCUCUUGGUUUCCAUUUGAUAAAUUUGUAGAAACUGAAUGGAAUUUGAUUUUAGGAGACUUAAGUUUCCACCUAUUAUGUCCAUAAAAGUAUUUCAGCAAAUAAAAGAAAAUGAAAUUAAUUUGCUAUACACCAGGAUUUAGGUAUUUCACUUGUCUGUAAAGUAACAUGAGCCAGCUUGUUGACAUGACUUGACACUUUACACAGUAAACAGAGUGAAGUGGGCAUUAGGCUUGAGGUUGUUGAUACUGUCAGUAUUGCGUGUACAGUUGUAUAUGUAUAUAUGCUGUUGUAUAGGUAGGACUCUGGUGAUACACAGGUACAUGGUGGUGGGAGCUAUUGGCAUUACCAUCAUCAGACUAAAUAGUUCCCCAUAACAGAAACUCCCCUUAGAUGACUAAAUACUGAACUGUCAGCACACUCUGGUUCACGCUGUGAGGUUCACUCUGUGAAGUUCACACCAUGAGGUUGACACUGUGAGGUUCAUACUGUGAGUUCACACCAUGGGGUUCACAUUGUGAAGGUUCAUACCACGAGGUUCACAUUGUGAGGUUCAUACCGUGAGGUUCACAUUGUGAGGUUCACACUGUGAGGAUCAUACUGAGGUUCAUACCAUGGGGUUCACAUUGUGAGGAUCAUACCGUGAGGAUCAUACUGUCAGAUGUUCAUACCAUGAGGUUCACAUUGUGAGGUUUACACCGUGAGGUUCAUACCAUGAGGAUCAUACUGAGGUUCAUACCAUGAUGUUCACAUUGUGAGGUUCACAUCGUGAGGUUCAUACUGUGAGGUUCACAGCAUGAGGUUCACACUUGUCAGGUUCCUGUGAGGUUCACAUUGUGAGGUGUGGACACAUUAAAUACUAUGAGUGUAAUUACAUUGGUCAUGACAACAGUUUUGUAACCGUAUCAGAUGAAUCAGUAGCAAUUAGGUGGUUUUGUUCAAUAUGUAGUAGAAGUUAGUUGCUGUUUUCAAAACACCCAAUACAACCAUUGGUAUUGUUGACAUGUUGUAUUGGUUUUAAGUAGAAUACUUGUGUCUGUACAGGUGUAUCUUUAGCAGGACCUGUCCCCUUAGUUGCCCUUAGACUUAGUGUAAUUAUCAGAGCCGCAGCCAGCUGUCCACCAGCAUUGUGGCCAGUGCAUGAUUGCUGUAUCAUACAUCUUACAUCAUCUUCUUUGACCUUUGUGCAAGAUGGUACAGGAAUUAUUUUUCUACCAUGAAAUGCUAUAUUCUUUAAAUUAUGUCAUAUUUUUACAUAGAAAGCUGAUCUAUUUCUUGCAAUAUUAUCUGGUGUGUAUGUCGUGGAUACUCUAUAUUUGUUGUGUCAAACGGUUUAUUUUUCAAAGGCAGAGAUUUCUACUUUGGUGUCAACCUUAUUGAACCAUGCUUGUUGGGCUUCUCAGUUGGUGACUCUUGCUUGUCAGAUGGAUUACAAAACUACUUUUUCAGUUAAAGAAUGCCUGGUGUUCUGAAACCGUAUAAAAUAACUCCUUGUUGUAAGUUGUUGAAAGAACUGUCCACAUAGCCUGCAUCAGAAUCAAACCUCAAAGUAUGACCUAUUGUUGGUCAAGGGGCUAGUACGUAUGUCUGCCAACUAACCAAAGUAGUUCAUGAGAGAGUGAAUAUUCUGGCUGCCAUCAAUGAAUGCACGUCAAGGCUAUUACCAGAUCCAGCUAUGGCUUGUCCUUCACACUUAAUUAGUU